UUAUGCAGGUACAGGGAUAAUUUAGAAAACCAUUUUCUUGCCUGGAAAUAGCAUUAGAUCAAACACAUACCAUAGCUGUCAACACACAUUAUCAAGCUUGGAGAUCACUUCUUGUAAUACGGUCGGUCUGUUCGUGCACGGGACUUAAGUGUGGUUUGUGUUUUGGUGAGGCGUUCUUUGCCGGUUCAAUAUAACACAAUGAGUUUGGCCAAGGCUUGGAGAAAAAGAUGCAAAGCCAAUUAUCCUGAACUCGGGUGAUGAAACAUGGACAAUUGAGGUUUUGCUGUAGGUUGAACAUGGCUGCAACUUGCCGCAACCACGACAUCAUUAUUCACAGUUGGCUUGGUUUUGCAGUUUGGACUUGGACGGCUUGGCUAGUGGCGUUCCGAAUUUGUACUGCAUUAAAUCACCAGUUUGUUGUGCUCUGGAACUUCUUGAGCUUUCUGUAAUUACUUAGGCUUUUUAUUUGGAAUGCUGAGUUUUGAGUAGUUUGUAGCCUUAUGUCUGCUGCGUUCAUGGCUUUCCCGUCCAACUACCCUUUUUAUGUUCUAUUUGUUUUGGAUAUGUAUGCUGGCGGGAUACGUAGACUGGAUAACGUUUUUUUAAUGGAAAAUUGGGUCAUGGAUGUUAACAAAAGUGAUUAUGAAAAUGGAUUAUGGAUGUUAGUGGAUAA